UGGAUGACUGCAGGAGAAAUCCUGAGGAAAGUCCAUGCUUGCACUUUCUGUGAUGAAAGUAGUGUUUGUGCUAGAGGAAAAGAUAACUCUAGGCUGGGAGGAGUCCUAGACGGCAAGAGAAGACCUAAGCGAGAGUAUGGUGCUUCUCUUUUAAAGCUCCACAGUGACGAAAUCUAAGGGAAACUUUAGAAGUGAAACGUUGGAAAGCCCCACAAGCAAGAAACCUAAAUUAUGGUAAGGGAGGUUUUCAAAGUGAAAGAUAAACUUUGAAAGCAAGCGAAAGCUUAGAUAAAUUGUCAUCCUCGACAGAACAUGGCUUACAG
rnacentral:RNase_P_RNA from 1 species